rnacentral:rRNA from 1 species
GAUGAACGCUAGCGGCAGGCCUAACACAUGCAAGUCGAGGGGUAGAGUUCUUCGGGACUUGAGACCGGCGCACGGGUGCGUAACGCGUAUGCAAUCUACCUUAUACAGGGGAAUAGCCCAGAGAAAUUUGGAUUAAUGCCCCAUAGUGUUAUCGAAUCGCAUGGUUUGAUAACUAAAGUUCCAACGGUAUAAGAUGAGCAUGCGUCCCAUUAGUUAGUUGGUAAGGUAACGGCUUACCAAGACAAUGAUGGGUAGGGGUCCUGAGAGGGAGAUCCCCCACACUGGUACUGAGACACGGACCAGACUCCUACGGGAGGCAGCAGUGAGGAAUAUUGGUCAAUGGGCGCAAGCCUGAACCAGCCAUGCCGCGUGCAGGAAGACGGUCCUAUGGAUUAGUAAACUGUCUUUUAAUACAAGGAACGAACCCUCCACGUGUGGGAGCUUGGACGGUACUGUAGGAAUAAGGAUCGG